rnacentral:rRNA from 1 species
AUUGAACGCUGGCGGAAUGCUUUACACAUGCAAGUCGCACGGCAGCACGGACUACGGUCUGGUGGCGAGUGGCGAACGGGUGAGUAAUACAUCGGAACGUGCCCAGCCGUAGGGGAUAACGUAGCGAAAGCUACGCUCAUACCGCAUACGAUCCACGGAGGAAAGCGGGGGAUCGCAAGACCUCGCGCGAUUGGAGCGGCCGCUGGCAGCUUAGGUAGUUGGUAGGGUAAAGGGCUACCAAACAGACGAUCAGUAGGUGGUCUGAGAGGAUGAUCAGCCACACUGGGAAUGGGAAACGGCCCAGACUCCUACGGGAGGCAGCAGUGAGAAAUUUUGGACAAUGGACGCAAGUCUGAUCCAGCCAUUCAGCGUGCAAGAUGAAGGCACUCGGGUUGUAAACUGCUUUUGUAAGGAACGAAAAGGCUCUGGUUGAUACCUGGGGCUCAUGACGGUACUGUAAGAAAAAGCACCGGCUAACUACGUGCCAGCCGCCGCCGUAA